GCGUUUGUUGUGUAGUGGUCAGCACGCUCAAUUUGUGUUCGAGAGGUCCGUGGUUCGAGUCUCGGCAAAGGCA
rnacentral:tRNA from 1 species